rnacentral:rRNA from 1 species
ACGCUGGCUACAGGCUUAACACAUGCAAGUCGAGGGGAAACGACGGGGAAGCUUGCUUCCUUGGGCGUCGACCGGCGCACGGGUGAGUAACGCGUAUCCAACCUGCCUCUGACUGAGGGAUAACCCGUCGUAAGUCGGCCUAAUACCUCAUGGUAUCGUCUGCGGGCAUCCAAUGACGAUUAAAGAUUUCAUCGGUCAGGGAUGGGGAUGCGUCUGAUUAGCUUGUUGGCGGGGUAACGGCCCACCAAGGCGACGAUCAGUAGGGGUUCUGAGAGGAAGGUCCCCCACAUUGGAACUGAGACACGGUCCAAACUCCUACGGGAGGCAGCAGUGAGGAAUAUUGGUCAAUGGGCGAGAGCCUGAACCAGCCAAGUAGCGUGCAGGAUGACGGCCCUAUGGGUUGUAAACUGCUUUUAUGCGGGGAUAAAGUGAGGGACGUGUCCUUCAUUGCAGGUACCGCAUGAAUAAGGACCGGCUAAUUCCGUGCCAGCAGCCGCGGUAAUACGGAAGGUCCGGGCGUUAUCCGGAUUUAUUGGGUUUAAAGGGAGCGUAGGCCGUGGAUUAAGCGUGUUGUGAAAUGCAGGUGCUCAACGUCUGCACUGCAGCGCGAACUGGUCCACUAGAGUGUGCACAACGCAGGCGGAAUUCGUCGUGUAGCGGUGAAAUGCUUAGAUAUGACGAAGAACUCCGAUUGCGAAGGCAGCUUGCGGGAGCACAACUGACGCUGAAGCUCGAAAGUGCGGGUAUCGAACAGGAUUAGAUACCCUGGUAGUCCGCACGGUAAACGAUGGAUGCCCGUUGUCAGGCUGUUUCAGCCUGGUGACCAAGCGAAAGCAUUAAGCAUCCCACCUGGGGAGUACGCCGGCAACGGUGAAACUCAAGGAAUUGACGGGGGCCCGCACAAGCGGAG